rnacentral:misc_RNA from 1 species
UCAAGUGGCCCUAGCAGAAACAUUGAUGAUUCAGGCCACUGGUCAUGUGAGCAUUGUACGUAUGCAAAUAUCAGGUCAGCUACCAUUUGUGCAAUAUGCCAGCAACGUCGAUAAAUUUAAUUUUUCUACCCUGGUCAGCCACCUGGACUGGAAAUAUCAGUUUUGCCACUUUGGAGAAAGUCCAAUUACAUUGAGGAGACACGUUUUAGAGCACUGCGGGGGAGGGAAAGAAUAAAGCUACAUUUGAUUUCUCAGUUGUAUGACCUGAACUGCAAUGAUGGAGAAUUGAAAUGGGGAGGGGGUUGAAAAGGGAAGUGUUUGUCUUGUUUCUGGAGUCGGCUGUAAAUAGUUUGCCAUUUACUGCGAUCUUUAACUUGUAUUGGGUAUCUUAUAUCAGGAUCAUCCAUGCAAAAUAUAUAUAUUCAUCAUCUGUAAUCUUUACGAUCAUUUAU